GGUCUCCAAAGGAAAGAAGGCCCGCCUUGAGGCACUUCAAACUCCAGCAAGGAUUGCCAAACCUUCGAAGCUGGUACCUCCCCCUCGACCUGUUCCAGAAGCUGCUGUACCAGCUACUCUGGAGGGCGUACCUCCUCCUCGACCUGUUCCAGAAGCUGCUGUGCCAGCCACUCUGGAGGGCAGCGUCUUUGUGCAUUCGAGCAAGUUUGCUCAACCGGAGGGGGAUGACAAGACUCUGUGUGUUGAUGAGUGGCCGUUUCUUCAAACAGAGUUUUGUGAGAAGGUGAACCAGCCAACUGCUCGGGUUGUCUCUGGACAGAGAAAACAAGAGGAGCCAACACCUUGGGGUCCAAAAGUUGUGAUGGCCCAGGCUGAUAAACCAACAGCCAAUGAGACCAGCUUCUUGG
ensembl:lncRNA